rnacentral:rRNA from 1 species
GACAGAGGGUGCAAACGUUGUUCGGAAUUACUGGGCGUAAAGCGUGUGUAGGCGGUCUGCUAAGUCGGGUGUGAAAGCCCUGGGCUCAACCCAGGAAGUGCACUCGAAACUGGCAGGCUAGAGUACUGGAGAGGUUGGUGGAAUUCGUCGGUGUAGAGGUGAAAUUCGUAGAUAUCGAGAGGAACACCGGUGGCGAAGGCGGCCAACUGGAGCAGGAUAACU